CUUAGGACGAACGCUGGCGGCGUGCUUAACACAUGCAAGUCGAACGAAGCGACAGUGAAGGAGGCUUCGGCCAAUGGAUCUGUUGACUUAGUGGCGGACGGGUGAGUAACGCGUGAGCAACCUGCCUUUCAGAGGGGGAUAACGUUUGGAAACGAACGCUAAUACCGCAUGACGUAUCUUUGCUGCAUGACAGAGAUACCAAAGGAGCAAUCCGCUGAAAGAUGGGCUCGCGUCCGAUUAGAUAGUUGGUGGGGUAACGGCCUACCAAGUCGACGAUCGGUAGCCGGACUGAGAGGUUGAACGGCCACAUUGGGACUGAGACACGGCCCAGACUCCUACGGGAGGCAGCAGUGGGGAAUAUUGCACAAUGGGCGAAAGCCUGAUGCCAGCAACGCCGCGUGAGGGAAGACGGUUUUCGGAUUGUAAACCUUUGUCCUUGGUGAAGAUCAUGACGGUAGCCGAGGAGGAAGCCACGGCUAACUACGUGCCAGCAGCAGC
rnacentral:rRNA from 1 species